AGGAGGGCUAAACUGUAGAGGGAAGGGGGAGCCAUUUCUCUCCACUGGCUGCAGUCUUCGUGCUCACAUUUCCCCGGAAUCCGGAGGCGUCCUCGGCCAAGGACUCCACAAUGCUGGAUAUUUUCAUCCUGAUGUUCUUUGCCAUCAUAGGCCUGGUCAUUCUGUCCUACAUUAUCUAUCUGCUCUAGGGACCCGAAACGGCGGCGUGGAGCCCACAGAUCAGGGGGGAAGGAUGAAGCUGACUGGCCGAGCAUCCUGCUUGCUGACGCACCGCUCCUGGAUUCCAGUCCAACAAGAGGCCUCUUAUCAACAGAAAUCCUGCUGCCCAGCAGACCUCUUCUAAAGCUUUCCGGAUAUGGUUAACCCCUGUCAAGCAAGGGACUUUUUAGAGUUCAGAGGCAGAAGCACUUGGUGGGACAUCAGGAAUUCACGGGCAUGGCUGGCAACUGCAGUGUGCAUUUAGGCUAUAGAUGGAGGAUGUUGAGAAAGAGCUAAAAUGUAGACUCAUUAAAGUUACCAUGGAGAACUGCUCAAAAAUUUGAUAGCCUUCCCUUAGGUCUUAAUUGCAACUUCAUAUUAAGCUAAAUGAUGUUCUUUUCUUGCUCACAUGAAGGGUGUUCCCUUGUAAGUCCAAGAGUAUGUUGUCUAUCUUCAUUUAUGAAGUAGUUGCUUUAUCACUCGCUGUCUUUAAAGAUUGCACAAUCUGGGUUUGUGUGGUUUCCGUGUCUCAAUCUGUAGAAGGAACUUGUCGUUUGAGUUUCUAAGAUUUAUCUUCCCCACUCCAUGCCCCUUGGGCUCCAGCUUCUCAUUUAAAGAGAGCAACAGUUAUACAGUCCUCAUUCUUUCUGCAUACCUGAAUUAUAAAUUAUUGAAACAAAAUGGCUACACUGUUAUUUGGGAAAAACUUCUCUCUUACCCUCAAAUAAAUGUGUUUGUUUCCUUUUUGUAUUGCCAAAUGUUCUCUUUCUAAAAAAACAAAAGCAAAAAUCUUUGAACAUUUCUCUGUCCAAGUAGAGUUGAAGAAACCAUAUAUUUGAGGGUCCAGAGUAGAGUUGGGCUCCUAAUCUGUGGUAUCUAUUUCUUUGAAAAAUCUGUCAUGAUUGUUCUACAUUUGAUUUUUCUUUCUGGCUUAUAAAUAAACAAGAAGAGAGAUUA